rnacentral:rRNA from 1 species
AUACGUAGGUCCCGAGCGUUGUCCGGAUUUAUUGGGCGUAAAGCGAGCGCAGGUGGUUUAUUAAGUCUGGUGUAAAAGGCAGUGGCUCAACCAUUGUAUGCAUUGGAAACUGGUAGACUUGAGUGCAGGAGAGGAGAGUGGAAUUCCACGUGUAGCGGUGAAAUGCGUAGAGAUGCGGAGGAACACCUGUGGCGAAGGCGCCUUGCUGGCCGGUUCCUGACGUUGAGGCGCGAAAGCGUGGGGAGCAAACAGGAUUAGAUACCCUGGUAGUCCACGCCGUAAACGAUGAGUGCUAGAUGUAGGGAGCUAUAAGUUCUCUGUAUCGCAGCUAACGCAAUAAGCACUCCGCCUGGGGAGUACAACCGCAAGGUUGAA